rnacentral:rRNA from 1 species
CCCUUAGAUGUCCUGGGCCGCACGCGCGUUACACUGAUGCAUUCAACGAGCUUAUAACCUUGGCCGAGAGGCCUGGGCAAUCUUGUUAACGUGCAUCGUGAUGGGGAUAGAUUAUUGAAAUUAUUAAUCUUGAACGAGGAAUUCCUAGUAAACGCAGAUCAUCAAUCUGCAUUGAUUACGUCCCUGCCCUUUGUACACACCGCCCGUCGCACCCACCGAUUGGAUGGUCCGGUGAAGCCUCGGGAUUGUGGUUCUUGCCGCUUUAUUGUGGCGUGACCGCGAGAACUUGUCUAAACCUUAUCAUCUAGAGGAAGGUGAAGUCGUAACA